rnacentral:rRNA from 1 species
UGGCUCAGGAUGAACGCUAGCGGCAGGCCUAAUACAUGCAAGGCGAAGGGGCAGCAAUGUCACUGUCGUACGGGUGCGUAACGCGUAUGCCAACCUACCUAUCACAGGGGAAUAGCCUUUGGAAACAGGGAUUAAUACCGCAUAAAGCAGGGACACCGCAUGGUGAUAUUGCUAAAGAUUUAUCGGUGAUAGAUGGGCAUGCGUCUGAUUAGUUAGUUGGCAGGGUAACGGCCUACCAAGACGAUGAUCAGUAGGGGGCGUCAGAGCGUGGUCCCCCACACUGGUACUGAGACACGGACCAGACUCCUACGGGAGGCAGCAGUGAGGAAUUUUGGACAAUGGGCGCAAGCCUGAUCCAGCCAUGCCGCGUGCGGGAAGAAGGCCUUCGGGUUGUAAACCGCUUUUGUCAGGGAAGAAAUCUUCUGGGUUAAUACCUCGGGAGGAUGACGGUACCUGAAGAAUAAGCACCGGCUAACUACGUG